CGCCGCCGCCGCCGCCGCCGCCGCCGCCGCCGCCGGGUCCCAAGGCGCAGCCCCGGCUGAGGAGCGCGUCGGCCGGCUGCCCAGCAGCGCUGCGCAGGGAGGAGCAGAGCCGCGGAGCCGGCGGGCGGGCGGGCGCGCGGACAGGUCAGGCUGCCAUGGCAGACCAGCGACAGCGCUCACUGUCCACCUCGGGGGAGUCGCUGUACCACGUGCUGGGGCUGGACAAGAACGCAACCUCGGAUGACAUCAAGAAGUCCUAUCGGAAGCUGGCCUUGAAGUACCACCCUGACAAGAACCCCGAUAACCCGGAGGCGGCAGACAAGUUCAAGGAGAUCAACAACGCCCACGCCAUCCUGACCGACGCCACCAAGAGGAACAUUUACGACAAGUACGGCUCGCUGGGCCUCUACGUGGCCGAGCAGUUCGGGGAGGAAAACGUCAACACCUACUUCGUGCUGUCCAGCUGGUGGGCCAAGGCGCUCUUCGUCUUCUGCGGGCUCCUCACCUGCUGCUACUGCUGCUGCUGCCUGUGCUGCUGCUUCAACUGCUGCUGCGGCCGGUGCAAGCCCAAGGCCCCCGACGGCGAGGAGACCGAGUUCUAUGUGUCCCCCGAGGACCUGGAGGCGCAGCUGCAGUCCGACGAGCGGGGAGGGCACUGACACUGUGCGGGAGUGUUGGUGGUGGCGGCGGGACUGUUGAGGUGUGAACGCGGACGCUGGAGAGGCUGCAGACGCUCCGAUCGCCGUCCAGCCGGCCUCGGCCACGGAGACCACCCAGCUCACGGCCGACUCGCACCCCAGCUACCACACCGACGGGUUCAACUAAGUUCAGGAGGAGCUGCGACGAGAGGGCCAGCGCCCGGCCGGCCGCUCAACCUUCGAAUCAUGAACUGUAGUCACAGAGCUGGCGCGGGAGCCGCUCCGGCCACGGGAAGGGCAGCGCCCGCCUGCCCGCCUCUGUGCCCGCCCGCCGUCCGUCGAUCCCGACCCACGAAGCGCGUAGCAUGCAGUAUUUAAAGCAGUUUAGCUACGGUCUUCUGUUGUUCCUUUCUUUGACAGCAUGUAUGGGUUCUGUUCCAUGUCCGUCUGUGUUGUGGGCGUGUUGCAGCCAGGCCGUGUUCACCCGGCGGGGCGGGGCGGGGGCAGGGGGGCGCCUCAGGGCUUUCGGUCCGGUCUGUGCCCUGGGUGGACGGCCCGCGUGGGACAGGCCGGGAGCUGUGGGGGCUGCCCGCUGCCCUCUGCGCGCGGCCGUGUGGCCACAGGCAGGGCCCUUGGACUCAGGCGCCUGGCGGGAGCCGGGCCCAGCCGCCCGGCGCGGCCCUUCCGUGGUGUUGGUCCCGAGGACAGUCGGUGCGGCCUCUUCGCCUUGUGGGCUCGGCCUGGCAGCGGGCGUUCCCCGUGUGCGGCUGUGGCGGACGCUGCAGGAGGCUCUGCUGAGCGCGGUCUUGCCGUGUCGGACCUGAGGCCGGUCCCCGCCCCCUCGCCAGGCGUGGGAACGGUCCCGCACUUUCCCAGGCCACGGGCCGGAUGCACAGGGCCCCCUCCCGCAGCCCCCGCUCCCCCCGCCUGCACAUUGUCUUCGCCCACCUCCCUGCAGGACCCCCUGGCCCUUUCGGGACCCCCUCAGAAUCGCAGAUGGCAGCAGUGGCUCGGGAGUCGGGGGCUGAGAGUCCUCCCCCGUGCCACCCAGAGCGCCCAGCCGCCCCCUUCCUUCGCGUGGUCCCUUUGGCUGGUGUUGAUGGCUCGGAUAGAGCUAGAGGCAUCGGACUCAGAGCAAGGACCAGCUGGACCAAAGGCGCACUCUGGGUAGGGGGGGGGUUCCGGGAGGCCCUGGGCCCUUCGGCGUGUUCGCCCGCGGCCGGGCCACGGAAGCCCUGGGAGGGCGCUCCUGCCUGGCCUGCGCGUGGCACUGCCGGGUUUCUGCAGAACGAGCCGAGGGAACCGCCAGUGGGAAGGACGGGGUGGGGGCCGCACGCAGGGAGGUCAGAUGCACCUGGAGUCACUGUCGUCGUCGUUGUCGUCCCCCCCCCUGCCCGCCCCCACCCCCGCCGCCGCCGCCAUGGCCCGAGCACUCCAGGAGCCGUGCUGGGGGAGGCCCCGUUUUGUUGGGGGUUUUGUGCGGGAGGAUGAUCACGGAGGCGCCCAGUGAGGGAGGUGCGCCCUGAUACUGAGCUAGAAGGGCCCUGGGCUCGGGCUGCUGGGAGGGUUAGGAAAUGCACCGUCUCACCGCCCAGGACGGGGAGGAGGCCCCACGCAGGGCGGUCUUCACUGCCAGUUCCCGUCCAGCAGCAGGAGUCCAGCCCGAGGGGGAGUCUCUGGAAGUAACUAGGAAGUGAGUUGUUUUCCCCGAACGGCCAAGAACCCAGCUCAAAGCUUCGGGCAGGAAGCCGCCCCUGCACCGUGUCUGUGCUCUUGUUUUGUGUCCAGAAGCACUGAGGCCCGUGGCACACGCCAGUGGUCCCCUGCCGGGGGUCUUUCGGUUCUAGAAUCUUACGGAUCGUCUCCUAGAAACAUGACGCUCCCUGGAGGCCCCGGUGGCGUGGGAAGGAGGGGCAGGUCUGGGUCGAACCCGUCCCCUGUGGGGUUUGUAGAAGUGAGAUAAGUGGUGAGUGAUGACAGCAGCCCUCAAGCCGAUGCUGAUGCUGCCCCGAGGCCCAGGCCCCCGGGAGCUGAGCCCGGGUCUGGACCACCCCCCGCCUGACCCAACCCGAAGCGUGUCCUCUCUGGGGUCCGGGGCAGAAGCCCUUCCCAGGGGUCUACUGUCCACACUCGCAGGCCGCCUCCUGGCUGGAGACCAAGGUCCCCGGGUACCCUUCGCCCGCGUGGCUGUCUGUUCUCUGGGCAGCAGUGUUGUGUCUGGAGGGGUGUAGCCGCGCCUGUGGUCGGCAGGGACAGCUCUCUGCCUGUCGUGGUGGGGACAGGAGUGCUGUGGGCCUCACGCUGGGUGGCCCGCUGUGGCCAGGGCUGGGGGACCCGAGGGGUGGGUGGGGACGGGGCUGUGCACGUCUCUGUUUCCGCGUGGUGACUGGUUCCUGGGUCUUGGGGCCUUACCCUGCUUCCCGCUGCUUUCGCUGUGAGCCCUCCUGCUUUUCUGAUCAGUCGAGUGGGACCCGCUGGGCAAAGCCUGGGCGCGCUGAGCGGGGCGGGCGGCGUGUCCACACUGCUGGCCGGGGAGCCCGUCCGGGGCGGCCUGGUCAGCAUCUGGAGGGAGUGCGCCCGGGAGAGCCCUGCCUGUCCUGGCUCAGUGCGUGCGCCCGGGGCGGGGGGGGGGGCAGCUUGGAGGCUGUGACAACGGGCCUGAUUGCAUUCCUCUGGCGGCUUCUGAGCUGUGAACUCUGUGACCCGGGACUCACCUGUUGCGCUCCUCCUCCUGUGGAAUUGGCAGCCAGCUCUGUUUCCUCCUGUCGUUUCAAGCACGGUUGGCGUCGUCUGCUGUAGGUGUGGGCAGUGUGUGUACAUAUGUGUAUAUGUAUAUAUAUCACGCAGCAGGCGUGACUGCUGCUGUCCAGUGGCGAAGCAACAAGUACAAUAAAAAUCGGCUCCGAAUUGGCCUCUGGUUUCUUGACGAGUCGCGGUGGGAGCCGGGCCUCGGCGUCUGGUGUCCUGCUCCUUGCGCGGAAGGCAGCACCGACCCCGCUGUGCGCCCGGAGCCGGUGCCUGCCCCCUGCGAGUCCAGGGCGGGGGCAGGGCCGCCCAGGCGGCGACUGGGCAAGCGCUGCCCAUCCCUCCCUGGGCCCCGUUGCUCUCCUGACCCAGAGGUGGGUGGCACGGCCCUGUGACGCUCAGGUGGCUGGAAACCCUCCCUCUCUUGAAACAUGAAAGCCAGUUUAUGCAGCAGAUGGAGUCUGACAGCUGUGCUCAGAGGGCCCCUGUCCUGCCCACAGAACCACCCUGCAGGUUCCUGGGGAACCUGGGUUCCUCCAGGCGGGGGCUGGCCGCGGCUCGUCUCUGGAAAAUGGGGUGAUGUGGCGGGGGAGGCAGUUUACACUGAAACGUUCCCGACGUGGUGAGAAGCCCUGUGCGGGUGUGGGGACCGUUGUGGUCCCCGUGCUGCUCUCGUCCUCCUGGGGCCUGACCUCUGCCCUGGCGCCUGCGCACACCGGGGGCCAGGCCAGAUUCCCGUGGGGGCGGUCUCUUCUGUCUGAAUGUUGACCUGUGAUAAAGAUACGUGUAAAAUAAAUGUUUUCACCGCA